CAGUCGCCGCGGGAAAACGGAGGGUGCAAGCGUUGUUCGGAAUUACUGGGCGUAAAGCGCACGUAGGCGGCUUGGUAAGUUAGAGGUGAAAGCCUGGAGCUCAACUCCAGAAUUGCCUUUAAGACUGCCGAGCUAGUAGGUGAGAGAGGUAAGUGGAAUUCCGAGUGUAGAGGUGAAAUUCGUAGAUAUUCGGAAGAACACCAGUGGCGAAGGCGGCUUACUGGCUCAUUCUAGACGCUGAGGUGCGAAAGCGUGGGGAGCAAACAGGAUUAGAUACCCCUGUAGUCCCUGUCUCUUAUAC
rnacentral:rRNA from 1 species